GUGGCUGUAGCUCAAUGGUUAGAGUACCAGACUGUGGAUCUGGGUGUUGUGGGUUCGAGUCCCAUCAGCCACCCCU
rnacentral:tRNA from 1 species